AGCGAACGCUGGCGGCAGGCCUAACACAUGCAAGUCGAACGAACCUUUCGGGGUUAGUGGCGGACGGGUGAGUAACACGUGGGAACGUGCCUUUAGGUUCGGAAUAACUCAGGGAAACUUGUGCUAAUACCGAAUGUGCCCUUCGGGGGAAAGAUUUAUCGCCUUUAGAGCGGCCCGCGUCUGAUUAGCUAGUUGGUUGAGGUAAUGGCUCACCAAGGCGACGAUCAGUAGCUGGUCUGAGAGGAUGAUCAGCCACAUUGGGACUGAGACACCGCCCAAACACCUACGGGAGGCAGCAGUGGGGAAUCUUGCGCAAUGGGCGAAAGCCUGACGCAGCCAUGCCGCGUGAAUGAUGAAGGUCUUAGGAUUGUAAAAUUCUUUCACCGGGGACGAUAAUGACGGUACCCGGAGAAGAAGCCCCGGCUAACUUCGUG
rnacentral:rRNA from 1 species